UCGUGUGUCUUGUUAUUAUUUAUAUAUUAUACAGAUAUACAGAAUUUAAGAAUUAUGUUAUAUAUUGAGAGUGCAAGUCAAAGUGCAAAAUAUGGAAUCUGCCUCAUUAUAUACAUGUUUUAGGUUAAAAGUCUGACAGCAUCAUUCAACGACUACGAUUUAUAACUGCGAUAAUAAAACGUAAAGCCACAACUAAUGAAAUAGCGACUGCAAAAAACAUCAUUAGUCAGCUAAUUUACUUAAAUCAAUAGAGGAUCCUGAAUGUAAAAUCAGAGAAGAUGAUAAAAUAGUUGUUAUCAAAGAUAAAUAUCCUAAAGCGUAAUUUCACUAUUUAAUUUUACCAAAGGAGGAUAUUCUCAAUAUAUGGCGUGUCAAAAAAGA